rnacentral:rRNA from 1 species
CACACGACUCUUGGCAACGGAUAUCUCGGCUCUCGCAUCGAUGAAGAACGUAGAAAAUUCGAUACCUGGUGUGAAUUGCAGAAUCCCGCAAACCAUCGAGUUUUUGCACGCAAGUUACGCCCGUGGCCUUCUGCUUGAGGGCACGUCUGCCUGGGCGUCACGC